AUUAUCCCGAGCUACCCUGCGCUUCGAGUCGUGCGUCGUCUCCCGCACACUCCACUCCAGUGACGAAGUAGUGCUUUUCAAGUAAAAGCGAACUUUGCGUGCAGGAAAACUCAGAAUCAUUGGUGUUCCACGAAGAACCACCCAAGUACCUGAUUGACGUUUACAUCUGUGUUUCUCCCCUACUGAAACUUUCUGGCUCAGACGAUUUCAUCACCUAGGCAUCAAAAUGUAUUUUCUACAUUCGCAAACUUCGCAGUUGGAUAUCUUUUCUGCCAACGCGUUGCCAUUUCUUAUGAGGAUCAAAUCGAUAAAACAUAGUAUAUGCUAAGAAAAUGUUUCGUAUAUAAUUAAUAGACCGAUCGAUAUAGAAUCAAGACAAAAAAAUAUCAUCAUGCGAUUAUUCGCAACAAAUGAUAUAACGCGGAUUUUAGCGAUCAUUAUACUUGAACUUAGUUUUGACAUGUUCGGGCAAAAUGAAUAUCACCACGUUAUUCUACCAAAAAACCAAAAGAAUUCUGCCUCUGACUACCGAACGACAAUAUUAACACAAGCAAAAAAAGCCAGCAGUUUCUACAAAGCGUUAAAACCGACUGUAACGUGCAGUAGUCAGAGACAGAAUCACUGCCUCUGACCGAGGUUUGUGGAUGUUCGGUAAGUAAUCUGUAGCAUCUUGGUAAGUUACCGUUGGUGCAAUUCAAAAACCUGUAAGUACCACCCUCAUCAAUAAUCCCGUUCGUAUGCCACGAUUUAAUUAGAUUAUUGGGCUUAUUAGUGAUAAUCUUAAUAACAUCAAUUUGCAAAAAGAUACUUAAAAUCUUAAUGCUAUGUACGACAUAUUUAUAAGAAUUGUGUAAUUACUUCUGACUAGUUAUUUUUAACCAUAUCUUUAAUUUAUGUUAUUGUAUUAAUGUUGUUAAACUUGACAUUCUCACUUUCAACGAUCCUCUUUCCAAUGACAAAAGUUGUGGAGUACAGACAUACUUUCCAACACGUAUCCCAAAACAACACUUAAUGUACUUUUGCGAAUUUGUAAUAGAUUAAUAUUCGAUGUGAUCAACGUAAUUUAUACAAGCAAGUAUUGAUAUUAAUUAAAAUCUCUUAUUUUGUAAUGACAGUUUUGUGAAUUAUUCCGUGAUUUAUACGUUUUUUGUAAAUUGUAGAUACACUUAAUAAGGGCCAGAAAUCGGCCGAAAUAUUGUGUAACUUUUCAACAUUUGAAAUAAAAUUGCCAGAAUUGUCAUUAAAUUGCCAUUCAAAAAAAAAAGACUUUGUUGCCCUAAAAGAUUAUGUAUUAUAUAUUGAAUUAGGCUCUAAUAAUCGGAAAUGUAGCUGAUGCUCUUCCUCUUCUCUUUCCACCGCUCCCAUUCUCUUUAUUCCUCUUUCCUGUUUCCAUUCCGUUUAAGUAAGAUAAGUAAUUGGACACUCGAAAGUAGUUGGAUGAAAUGUUUUUACGUUCGUUUCACUGUCAUCAAUCUUACGUACAUAAAUAAUUUGAUAUUAUAAAGUUCAUGAUUUUCUAAUAUAAUAUCCACAAUUUUCAGGCGAAUUGUGUACUGCGAAAUGUGUAGUACUGCACAAAAUGUAGUAGUACCUACAAAUAUUAAUUUCUAUGUUUAAAGAUAAUGACCACAUUAAACAUAUCCGCUUAGGCUUAAUUUAGUGUUUCGUAUUAAGGAAUUGUUUUUGAUACUUUACAAUACAAUCCAGAGGGAGCCGAAAUCGUGGCUUAUCGAUUCUCCUUUUUAAAUUAUAUCUUCAAUAUUUAAAGAUUACAAUAAAUUUAUGUUAUUCUUUGAACAGUCUAAAACUACACCUAA